AAACUGUGCAAUGCGCGAAAGCGCGACACGGGAAGCCUGAGUGCCUUAACUAUGUUAAGGCUUUUCUUGAGCCUAAAAAGCUCAAGGAAUAAGAACUGGGUAAGACGGGUGCCAGCCGCCGCGGUAACACCCGCGGUUCGAGUGGUAGUCACUUUUAUUGAGCCUAAAGCGUUUGUAGCCGGAUUUGUAAAUCUCCAGGAAAAGACUUCAGCUCAACUGAAGAAAUUUUGGAGAGACUGCAAAUCUAGGGACCGGGUGAGGUUGAAUGUACUUCUGGGGUAGGGGUAAAAUCCUGUAAUCCUGGAAGGACGACCGGUGGCGAAGGCGUUCAACUAGAACGGAUCCGACGGUGAGGAACGAAGGCUAGGGGAGCAAACCGGAUUAGAUACCCGGGUAGUCCUAGCUGUAAACACUGCCCACUUGGUGUUGCAUCUCCGGUAAGGGGGUGCAGUGCCGUAGCGAAGGUGUUAAGUGGGCCGCUUGGGGAGUAUGGUCGCAAGGCUGAAACUUAAAGGAAUUGGCGGGAGAGCACCGCAACGGGAGGAGCGUGCGGUUUAAUUGGAUUCAACGCCGGAAAACUCACCGGAGGCGACCUAUGUAUGAGAGUCAACCUGAUGAGUUUACUCGAUAGUAGGAGAGGUGGUGCAUGGCCGUCGUCAGCUCGUACCGUAGGGCGUUCACUUAAGUGUGAUAACGAGCGAGACCCCCAUCUUCAAUUGCUAA
rnacentral:rRNA from 1 species